AACAUGUAAAACUUCAAUUCUUUGUUAGGGAAUUUUCACAAAUUUAUAGUGAGAGCUCUCAACAAAGUUCAUAUGUGGAGUGGAAUAGAAAAUUCAUUAGUUGGUUACAAAAAAAGGUUGUAGGAUUAUACAAACAUGGUGAUAGUAAGAGAAUGGAAGAUUUGCUAUCUUUAUCACGUGGCCCUAUGCCAUAUGUCACAAGAUUCAAAGGCUAUAUUGUUAAUGGAUAUAAGUUUCAUGUGAAAGAGUAUGAUCAAUAUUUGAAAACUCAAAAUUGUGGAGUGGUUGUAGUAGGUGAGACCGGUGAAGAACAAAACCAUAUGAAUUACUAUGGCGAGUUAACCGAGGUUCUUGAAUUACAAUUUGUUGGGGGAAGAAGAGUGAUUUUAUUCCGAUGUAUGUGGUUUGAUGUGUAUGAUCAAAAGAGGGGAGUUAAAAUGGAUGAAUAUGGCUUUGUAAGUGCUAACCGUCGGCGAUAUUUGAAAAUAAAUGAGCAAUUUGUAUUAGCUAGCCAAGCAUCACAAGUAUUUUAUGCUAUCGAUCAUUCCAAUAAAGGUUGGCACAUAGUGCGAAAGGUUCAACCUCGUGAUGCUUUUGAUAAUUUGGAAAAAAAAUAUGAUGACUUAGAAGAGUUAGAUAACUCUACACAAGUGAAAAGAAAAAGAACUCAUUGAGGUUGACAUGAAUCCCUCAAAAACUCUGAAGUAUGAAAUGGGACAAACUUCUAAAAUUCCCAAGCAUGAACUCAUUCAGCCAGGUGCCUUAGUAAAAGGACUAGGUCAAAGAAGACAAUGCUCCCCUCCAUCAAGAAGCUGGAAUGAAUCAAUACACUUUGACCAGUGAUGCAAGGGGUCAGGAACAAAGCUUAAGGAUUAAUGCUGAAAAAAGGACUAUGAUUGGCGAAAAUAGAAAUACUACAACAACUUCUAGUCGAAAUAAGUCAGCAAAGAAAAGUAUCCCUGUGCCUCCUGAUUUUAAUCCAAUGGAGGACAAUGACACCCUCUUUCUAGAAGCGGAAGUGACUUGAGAUACUCAAAGAAGUGAUCAUUUGCAAAAGAG